GUUCUAUGCGGGAAAUAGUUGAUGAAUACAAAGCCACGGGUCUGGUCGAUGAUGUGAAAGAGUGGGUUCCAGUCGAACAUGUUCAUCAUGAAGGUGGGAAGGGUGUUGACCACGAACAUCUUGCCCGAAGCAAUCAUAUUUGCGCGCUG
rnacentral:ncRNA from 1 species